GGAGAUUCAGCCUUUUGACUAAGAUCCAAUGUGGUGCCUGUUCUUGCCAGUUUAACAUCUGAUAUCCCCUCUGUUGGGAGACAAUAUAAUAGAUAGGUCUGCAGGGCAGGGAGCUGGAGUAUGAGCUUGCUUUAUGCGCUCCACGCAUCCACUUGGUAUUGCAGCACCUCCAGGAACAGUGCCACUAUC